GGCAGUGUGGUACAGUGGUUUGAACACUAGACUACAAUUCUGGGGAACAGGGUUCGAAUCCCUGCUUGGCCA